UGGUCAGUGGAAUUGGGAAAAAGUCUACAAAAGUACAAAUUUUCAGUUUAAUUUUAACUUUGCACUUCACUCACACCCAGGACUUGGCAGGGGAAGUGGGCCUUGAUUUUUUUUUUCUUUUUAAAGCAGAACACACCCUGGAUGGAAAAGGGAUGUUCUCUUCGCGUGGAAGGGUUAGAACCAAGUACAGAGGAAAUGGGUUGGUAUUGUAGCAAGAGUUCAGGGGUGGGUCUAGGCUUUGAAACUGGAGCACUAGGAAAGUGUGGCCCUCAUGGAGGCAGUCAGGGAAGGGGAUGGGAUGUCUUUCACAGGCAGCUGUUGGGCUGACAUUUUUGUUUUGUCCUGUUUGGUGCAUUUCAGAUACUUCACAGCUCACCUGCUGCUCUCAUUGGGACCCCUCUUCACCUCAUGACGAAGCAGUGGGUCUUUCCCCCAUGUGGUUUGGGCUUUUUGGUGGUAUCAGCAACCUCAGGUCUAAGCCCUGUCCCCUCCCUCCCCUCUGUGAUCUCACCCUGCACGGUGCUGAAACCAACCAGGGAGGAAAUGCAGAAACAGUGGGGAUUCCAAAGACACCACCUUUAAAACGAUGGGGAUUUCCCAAGGGAGUGGAAGCAACCUCUUGCUAUUUGGGGAAGAGCAGGGUCCCAGGCCCCUGUCUGUAUCCUUGCCCCCUCCUGCAGUGUCAUCUGAGCCAGAGCAGGGUUAGGCUCUGUGCUUUGGUUGCUAAGGAUGUGUAACCAGAGCAGAGACCUCUGGGGGUGGUGCCCACCUGGCUGGUGGAACAGUUAGAAGAGGAGCUGAAAAGAAACAGUUACAGCUGUAGGGGAGGUGUGAUCCCUUUCCUCACCCGUCAUAAGAGUCAUGGCCAACACUUACAACAAAAGAAAGGCUAACAAAAGAAAAGCGUAACAAAUUUAUUUAAUCAAAGUUGUAAGUGACAUGAGAACCUUCAGAGAAGAAGACCCAAAGACCCAGGGAAACUGCCUAUUUUUAUACUUAGGUUUGAUGAAGAAUAGACAGCCAUGAAGAAAUGGGACUGGACAAAGGGGUGUAGGCUGAGAGGGAACCCAGCAAGGCCUGUCUGUUCAGAUUCUUUGUGGCCUCUCUGUGUAGCAUUCCUUCCUCCUAGAUAUGGGGCAGGACCUCUCUGGAAUGAGGGUCUUCAAGGGAGAAGGGACAGGAGAGAGUAACCUUUCUCGGCUUUGCUUUGGGAGAGAGGAAUUCUAGUUUCUGUGACCCACCUUGGGGAAGAGAAGUUCUGGAUUCUGUGACUUCUGGGGAGAGAGGGUGAGAGACAGGAGGGCAGGAGAAAUUCACAGAGCUUGCUUCUGAGGCCUUCCUAUCUCCUUUAGUUCAAAGCACCCAGCACGCCAAAGCCCUUUACAUUUGGGUAUUGUGUUCUGAGCCCCACCACAGCCAAGAACUUGUAGAAUUGACUUGGGGGUCUGGGGAGAGUCCCAAGAAGCCAUCAGGGGCCCCUCCUCAUCUUGUGGCUAACACCAGCCACCUGAGUGCAGUAGACACCCACCCUCCUGUGACCUUCUUUUGGGAUUUUAGGAUAAGCAGUUCGGAUGUGCCUUAAAAACGGAGAGAACACACCCCAAGGAGUGGUUAUGGGGAUUAAACGAGACUGUGUAUGAAGCACCUAGAGUGUGCCUAGCGAGUGCUUGAGAAAGAUAUGAUGAUUAUUUUUAAUAAAAGCAUUAAUAGUGGUUGCUUGAGUAUUGUCCUCGAGAGGAGCAGCCAUCACUUUUGGUGUGGUGGUAGGAGCUGGGGACUGGCCUCGUCAGGACUCCGAAACCUAUGUCUAUCUGUGGCAUUCCUAGGCAGCCUGCCCCAGCAGCAGCCCCUUGGGCUGUGGGUAGGGGUGGCAGGCAGCACUGUUCCUCUCCAGGAAGGAGGCCGACUUCCUGGACGAAUUCCCUGGGCUCCCCAGCACCGCUCUAUGAGGCCCUCCUCUCCUCGGCGAACGGCAGUAAGGAGAAGCCAUUGACCCGUCUAGAAAAACCACAUGUCUGCAGUCUUUGAGGGUAGACUGGAAUCUCUUCUCAUAUUUGCCUUGCUUUGGUGGAGCUUCAAGAAUUCCCAGGCCUUCCAAGGAAACCAAUUACUAAAGAAGACUGUGGGCCAUGUGACUCCAGUGUUUACUGCAAACGAAGGCGAUGGCUCCCCUCCCCCAGUACAGUUACUCUCCCUCCAUCUGCACUGGUCCCCUAAGGCCUGGCUUCCUGGCUCUACGCUGCUUUCUUGCCCUAGGGCAGAAGGCCUCACAGGAUUUAUUCCCAGGCACUCUUGCCAUGACCUUGAGAAGGUGGCUUGACCUGGACAUCUGGAUCUCGGGGACUGAGGGGGUGGGAAAGGACUGAACCUCCCCCUCCCAAACCCAACAGGAAGGUGGGCUUUGGUGACCAUUUCCUAGGCUGAGAGCUCCUUGGCUCCAGGAGAGGGCUGCGCUCCCUGUCUCUCCUGCUCUGUGGGCUGUGCUAGAUGAAACCCACAAAUUGCUGCUGUCCCGGGCGGAGCGGCAUGCCUCCACCCACCAGUGAAGAGUGAAGGCAGGGCAGUUGCAGGGCCCUGCAGGACUCUGAGAUCCAGAUGUGUACCCCAGUGCUCCCCUGCUCUGCCCACUGGCAAGAGGGGGCUGAGGAGGGGCAUAGCAGGCCUCGUGUGGACUCUGUUUCCAUCUCCUUACCCCCAUAUCUCUACUUGGCCCAGAGAUGCCUGAGUAAGAGGGGCACCUGGUCAUUCUGGGCCCAGAAGGAAGAAGCUAGGCAUGUUGGCCUGCUCGAAGGACAGGAGCAGCCCUGGACAGGGACAGAUUAGAAAGCCUGGCUGCUUAUCCAAGAGAGGAAAAGGCCCUGAGGGGCAGGAGGAACCCUUUGAACAAUGCCGGACUGCUGUUGAGAAGGACAGGCUUGUGCCAUGUGACUCAUUGGUGAGAAAUCAGGGCCUGUGGAUGGAAGUUCCAGGGAGGGAGGCAACAAAUCCACUUGACAUUGGUGAAAGAACUUGUCCUGGACAACAGUCGGUCAAAUGAAGGCAAACUCGAAGGCCUCACAGAUGAAUUUGAAGAACUGGAAUUCUUAAGUACAAUCAACGUAGGCCUCACCUCAAUCGCAAACUUACCAAAGUUAAACAAACUUAAGAAGCUUGAACUAAGCGAUAACAGAGUCUCAGGGGGCCUGGAAGUAUUGGCAGAAAAGUGUCCGAACCUCACGCAUCUAAAUUUAAGUGGCAACAAAAUUAAAGACCUCAGCACAAUAGAGCCACUGAAAAAGUUAGAAAACCUCAAGAGCUUAGACCUUUUCAAUUGCGAGGUAACCAACCUGAAUGACUACCGAGAAAAUGUGUUCAAGCUCCUCCCGCAACUCACAUAUCUCGACGGCUAUGACCGGGACGACAAGGAGGCCCCUGACUCGGAUGCUGAGGGCUAUGUGGAGGGCCUGGAUGAUGAGGAGGAGGAUGAGGACGAGGAGGAGUACGAUGAAGAUGCUCAGGUAGUGGAAGACGAGGAGGACGAGGAUGAGGAGGAGGAAGGUGAAGAGGAGGACGUGAGUGGAGAGGAGGAGGAGGAUGAAGAAGGUUAUAACGAUGGAGAGGUAGAUGACGAGGAAGAUGAAGAAGAGCUUGGUGAAGAAGAAAGGGGUCAGAAGCGAAAACGAGAACCUGAAGAUGAGGGAGAAGAUGAUGACUAAGUGGAAUAA
rnacentral:sRNA from 1 species